rnacentral:rRNA from 1 species
AUACGGAGGGUGCAAACGUUAAUCGGAAUUACUGGGCGUAAAGCGCGCGUAGGUGGUUUAGUAAGUCGGAUGCGAAAGCCCUGGGCUCAACCUGGGAAUUGCAUUCGAUACUGCUUGACUAGAGUAUGGUAGAGGGAAGUGGAAUUUCCGGUGUAGCGGUGAAAUGCGUAGAUAUCGGAAGGAACACCAGUGGCGAAGGCGACUUCCUGGGCCAAUACUGACGCUGAGGUGCGAAAGCGUGGGGAGCAAACAGGAUUAGAAACCCCGGUAGUCC